rnacentral:rRNA from 1 species
UGGGGAAUAUUGGACAAUGGGCGAAAGCCUGAUCCAGCCAUGCCGCGUGUGUGAAGAAGGUCUUCGGAUUGUAAAGCACUUUAAGUUGGGAGGAAGGGCAGUAAGCGAAUACCUUGCUGUUUUGACGUUACCGACAGAAUAAGCACCGGCUAACUCUGUGCCAGCAUCCGCGGUAAUACAGAGGGUGCAAGCGUUAAUCGGAAUUACUGGGCGUAAAGCGCGCGUAGGUGGUUCGUUAAGUUGAAUGUGAAAGCCCCGGGCUCAACCAGGGAACUGCAUCCAAAACUGGCGAGCUAGAGUAGGGCAGAGGGUGGUGGAAUUUCCUGUGUAGCGGUGAAAUGCGUAGAUAUAGGAAGGAACACCAGUGGCGAAGGCGACCACCUGGGCUCAUACUGACACUGAGGUGCGAAAGCGUGGGGAGCAAACAGG